AAGAAGAAGAAGAAGAAAAUAGUUAGAACUCCCGUCGGCCUCAAGCCGGUCACCGGUGUCCUUGUCCUCCAUCUCUGUUUUUCUU
rnacentral:sRNA from 1 species